AAAGGGUAAAACAUAGAAAAAUAAAAUAAAAUAAAAUAGAAAGAGAAUGAGAGGAGGGGAGAGGAACACUUUAUUGCCUUUUUUAUGAUGCACGCAUCAAUGGCAGGACACAGAAUGAUGGUACAUUAGCACUGUCGAGACAGAAGGGCUAGAAGAAGUGAAGAAACACAGAGCAAUUAACCACAACCACAGCCACACAACAAGUACACAGAGAGGAAAAAAAAGAGGAAUUCGUAUGGGGUUGAAGAAAGGAGAAAAUUAGAUAAAAAUCAUGGAGCUCACCAAGAGAAAGAGAGGAUUGGUGUGUGGUCAAGAACUAGCGAAAAAAGAUGUUUUGUUGUAAUGGGUGAGUUAAAGAAGAGAGAUUCAUGGCAUGCAAUGAGAUAUGAUAUUGGGUUAAAGAAAUCUGAGUUUAAGAACAAGAAAUUUCCUCUCUUCUUUCAAAUCUGAGUGUUAGCCCUCUUGAGAGCCAACGCCAUUGAUAAUCCUUUACUUCACCACAACAAAUCUUGGGCCUUUUCUUGAUCUCUCUUCAAAUUCUUUUGGCUUCUUAGGUAUUUUAUUAAAGGGAUGCCCUUUCCUUUGCAGGCCAAGGGGGGUGUAGAUAUUGCUGGUUUUGCUUCAAUUUGUUCUCAACAAGAAACUUGGACGCACAGGCAGCAGCAGCAGCAACAACAACAACAACGACAACAACCUCUUCAAGUUAAUAGCUUUGCAAGCAAAGAACCUUCCUCAGUUCUUCAUAUGAGAAGAAGUCAAAGCCCACCCACAUCUGUUUCGACUCUCUCUUCCUCCUCAAACGGCGGCGCCGGUGGAAACAUCACCAACAUCACGGCAACAGAUAAGGCAGUGAACCCAGUGAGCAAUGAAAGGAAAGAUGAAUGGGCUACAGAGUUGCAGCCAAUCCCAAGUGGACUAGAGUUUGUUUCAUCAGGAGCAAGAUGUGGACUUGGACUAGAAGAUUGGGAGAAUAUGCUGUCAGAGCCGAGCCAAGAACAAUCCUUUAUGAGGUGGAUAGCUGGGGAUGUGGAUGACACACAGUUUGGGCUAAAGCAGCUGUUGCAAAGUGGAAACAAUCAGCUGGAAUUUGAUGACAAUGCUGAUGCUGGUGCCGGUGGUGGUGGAUUGGGGAUUGUUGAUCAAGGGCAUGGAUUUGAGUCCUUAAGUGGAAUUCCAUGUGGGGUGUCAAGCAUUGGUACUAAUUUGGCUCCUUUUCCUGGCCCUGGGGUUUCAAAUGUUGGGUCUGGUUUAGUUGCUUCCGGUUACUUUUCUGGGUUGGUCAAUUGCAAAAAUGUUGGAUUCGGAAACAACUCUAGCGUGCAAAGCCCAGUUUUUAGUUCUCCAUCUAACAGUGUAUCACUUCCACUAUCUUUGCCUCCUGGUAUGGUUUCUCAUCAUAAUCAGCAGCAACAAAUCGAGGCCUCGGAGGAGAAGCCGCAUAUACUAGAUCCACAGGUGUUGAUGAACCAGCAACAUUCUCAUAAUCCGCAAGCUCAAAAUCCCAACCUUUUCUUGCCGCUACCAUUUUCCCACCAAGAAAAUCGGCCCCUCCAUUCCCAACUCAAGCGCCACAAUUCUGGUGGUAUAGACCCAAUCUCUCAUGUAAUCCCUAAACCACCAUUCUCUGUUCCUGGGCAAGAGUUUUUGCUAAGAAAACACCAACAACAGCAACUGGGGUUUCCACAGGGAGUUCAAUUUCUUCACCAGCAACUUCAACAGAAGCCAUUGAUGGUGAAGAAGGAAGAUUUAGGAGUCCAGCAACAGCAACAGCAUGCUUUGUUGGACCAGCUCUGCAAGGCAGCAGAGUUGGUAGGGACUGGGAACUUCUCACACGCGCAAGGGAUAUUGGCGCGGCUCAAUCAACAGCUCUUCCCAACUGGGAAGCCUCUCCAUAGAGCAGCUUUCUACUUCAAGGAGGCUCUUCAAUUGCUCCUUCUCAUGAAUAGUAACUCAGUCACUGCCCCACCGCCUAGGAGCCCCACCCCAUUCGAUGUCAUCUUCAAAAUGAGUGCUUACAAAGUCUUAUCUGAGGUUUCUCCACUUAUCCAAUUUGUCAACUUCACUUGCAAUCAGGCUCUUCUUGAAGCAGUUGAUGAUGCAGAUAGUAUUCACAUAGUGGACUUUGAUAUUGGAUUUGGCGCUCAAUGGGCCUCUUUCAUGCAGGAACUUCCGCGAAAUAGAGGUGUCCGGUCGUUGAAAACCACUGCUUUUGCCUCUCCUUCGACUCACCAUCCUGUUGAACUUGGUCUUAUGCGUGAUAACUUAACUCAGUUUGCUAAUGAGAUUGGUCUGAGUUUUGAACUUGAUGUGAUUAACUUUGAUUCCUUGGAGCAAAACUGUUAUUCUCUUCCCUUUUUCCGAACAAAUGAAAAUGAGGCUGUUGUGGUGAAUUUCCCUAUCUGGUGCUCUUCAAAUCAACCAUCUGCAUUACCGUCACUGCUGCGCUUUAUAAAGCAACUUUCACCAAAGAUCGUGGUGUCUUUGGACCGAGGGUGUGACAGAAGUGAUCUUCCGUUUUCACAACAUAUUCUCCAUGCCCUCCAAUCUUAUGUACACCUAUUGGAAUCAUUGGAUGCUGUUAAUGCAACUACGGAUGAUGUGAACAAGAUUGAGAGGUUUUUGCUCCAGCCUAGGAUUGAAAGUACUGUGCUGGGGCGUCUUCGUGCUACAGACAAAAUGCCAAAUUGGAAGACAAUCUUUGCAUCUGUUGGCUUUUCUCCUGUAACUUUCAGUAACUUCACCGAAGCUCAGGCAGAAUGUGUGGUGAAGAGGACUCCAGUGAGGGGAUUUCACGUGGAAAAGCAGCAGGCUUUGCUUGUGCUUUUUUGGCAGCGUAGAGAGCUUAUGUCAGCUUCAGCAUGGAGAUGCUGAGCAGUAACACUACAAGCAAGGAGGUGCGCUUGUGUGCUGUCGAUUGCUCAGUCGUUCUUACUAAAGGUGGAUGGCAUAAGAGUUUAUUUUCGCUGGAGGGAUUUCCCACGUAUGGAGGUUGAGCCCAUUGCCUUCUUGUUGCAAUGCCCUGAAUUUUAGUCUGUUCUGUCAAAUGUGAUGGUGUAGCGAAGGUCUGAAGCAGCGAAGGACCUUGCACAGUAGGAUCUACACCACUUAUCUAUCCUUUCAGUUAAUCAAUAUAUAUACUCUGGUGUUGUUUAGUUCAUGAUGCAACUUAAUGAAAUACACUUUAUGGCUGCCUUGGAUGCUUUUGAAAUCA